UAAGAGUUAGUAAUCACUGAUGGAAAAAGACAUCAGAGAACUGGGAAUGAAAUCAGGGCUUCAGAAGGUUGGGUAUGCACACACAGUUUCAGAUGAAAACAUAUCUUUAAACCCACUAUAAGAUGAAGCCAAAGGUACUGGGAAAUCUAGGGUUUUCUGAGACCAUAAGCAAGGAGAUCUGUAAUGGAAAAGAGAAAGAAGAGCUCUUUCAUGCCACUCCACGCUCUCCAUUUCAGCCUUGAGAAAAGCGUUCAAACACAGGAUCUAUGAGGAAUGAUAAGCUGCAAACUGAGCCUGGACCUACUCACAAUAUUUUCAGAGUGAUCCAAAGGCCAAGAGCAAAGAUUACUGUACAACUUUCAAGCUUUCCCAAAAGGAAUUUUUUAGACACCCAUUAGAUGCCAGAUGUUCUGUUAGGCAGUGAGGUAUGUUCCUGGUGGUCUGUGGCUGGAGAGAAAGACACUAUCCAAGAGGAAGCACCGGGCUCCUGGUUUCGGAUUGGUGCAGCGCGCCGGCUGCAGCGGCCAUUUGUGGGGUGAACCAACGAGCUUUCUCUGUGUGUCUCUCUCUCACUGUCUAACUCUGCCUGUAAAAAAAUUAAAAAAAAUCAAAAAAAAAAAAACACAAAAAACAAACAACCUUGGCCCAGAUUUCAUUACAAGGUAACAGGCCCAUGUUACUAUUUACCGAGAUAUUUUGGCUAGGACUUUGAAGCAGCUAUUAUAUUUCAAAUUAUGAGAUCUGAAUACAGAUUUCUUAGAGUAGUUGCAAUUCUAUCAGUUGCUGAUUAUGAUUAAGUUAUUAUACUCUGGCCUUCCAUCUAUAAAGUAGGGAUAAUAAUGGCACUUCUUUUAUAGAUUUAUUACGUAAUUUAUUACUCUAUGCAUAUGAGGUGUCUUCAAAAAGUUCACAGAAAUAUCUCUUAUGACUAAAAGUAUAC